rnacentral:rRNA from 1 species
UACGUAGGGUCCGAGCGUUGUCCGGAAUUAUUGGGCGUAAAGAGCUCGUAGGCGGCUUGUCACGUCGGGUGUGAAAGUCCUGGGCUUAACCUGGGGACUGCAUUUGAUACUGGGUUGCUUGAAUUCGGGAGAGGAUAGCGGAAUUCCCAGUGUAGAGGUGAAAUUCGUAGAUAUUGGGAAGAACACCGGUGGCGAAGGCGGCUAUCUGGACCGACAUUGACGCUGAGGCGCGAAAGCGUGGGGAGCAAACAGG